rnacentral:rRNA from 1 species
CAUCCUCCAAGGCUAAAUACUCCUGACUGAUCGAUAGUGAACCAGUACCGUGAGGGAAAGGCGAAAAGAACCCCGGCGAGGGGAGUGAAAAAGAACCUGAAACCGUGUACGUACAAGCAGUGGGAGCACAGGUUUACCUGUGUGACUGCGUACCUUUUGUAUAAUGGGUCAGCGACUUAUAUUCUGUAGCAAGGUUAACCG